rnacentral:rRNA from 1 species
GAUGAACGCUGGCGGCAGGCUUAACACAUGCAAGUCGAACGGUAACAGGAGAAAGCUUGCUUUCUUGCUGACGAGUGGCGGACGGGUGAGUAAUGCUUGGGAAUCUGGCUUAUGGAGGGGGAUAACGACGGGAAACUGUCGCUAAUACCGCGUAGGAUCGAGAGAUGAAAGUGCGGGACCGCAAGGCCGCAUGCCAUAGGAUGAGCCCAAGUGGGAUUAGGUAGUUGGUGGGGUAAUGGCCUACCAAGCCGACGAUCUCUAGCUGGUCUGAGAGGAUGACCAGCCACACCGGGACUGAGACACGGCCCGGACUCCUACGGGAGGCAGCAGUGGGGAAUAUUGCGCAAUGGGGGCAACCCUGACGCGGCCAUGCCGCGUGAAUGAAGAAGGCCUUCGGGUUGUAAAGUUCUUUCGGUGACGAGGAAGGCGUGAUGUUUAAUAGGCAUCACGAUUGACGUUAAUCACAGAAGAAGCACCGGCUAACUCCGUGCCAGCAGCCGCGGUAAUACGGAGGGUGCGAGCGUUAAUCGGAAUAACUGGGCGUAAAGGGCACGCAGGCGGCUAUUUAAGUGAGGUGUGAAAUCCCCGGGCUUAACCUGGGAAUUGCAUUUCAGACUGGGUAGCUAGAGUACUUUAGGGAGGGUAGAAUUCCACGUUGUAGCGGGGAAAAUGCGUAGAGAUGUGGAGGGAAUACCGAAGGGGAAAGCUGCCCCCCC